rnacentral:rRNA from 1 species
UACGUAGGGGGCUAGCGUUGUUCGGAAUUACUGGGCGUAAAGCGCGCGUAGGCGGCUUUGUAAGUUAGAGGUGAAAGCCUGGAGCUCAACUCCAGAACUGCCUUUAAGACUGCAUCGCUAGAAUCGUGGAGAGGUGAGUGGAAUUCCGAGUGUAGAGGUGAAAUUCGUAGAUAUUCGGAAGAACACCAGUGGCGAAGGCGACUCACUGGACACGUAUUGACGCUGAGGUGCGAAAGCGUGGGGAGCAAACAGG